rnacentral:rRNA from 1 species
UAGGGAAUAUUAGUAAUGGGCGAAAGCCUGAACUAGCGACACCGCGUGUGCGAAGAAGGCCUUCGGGUUGUAAAGCACUUUUAGAGAGGAUGAGGAAGGACGGUACUCUCUGAAUAAGUCUCGGCUAACUACGUGCCAGCAGCCGCGGUAACACGUAGGAGGCAAACGUUAUCCGGAUUUACUGUGCGUAAAGCGCGUGUAGGUGGUUCUGUAAGUAGGGCGUGAAAGCUCCCGGCUCAACUGGGAGAGGCCGUUCUAAACUGAAGAGCUAGAGGAUGGUAGAGGGAGGUGGAAUUCCGGGUGUAGCGGUGGAAUGCGCAGAUAUCCGGAGGAACACCAGUGGCGAAGGCGACCUCCUGGGCCACUCCUGACACUCAGACGCGAAAGCUAGGGUAGCAAA